rfam:Schistosoma mansoni, Puerto Rico, WGS project CABG01000000 data, contig: 0041
AUCUAGCUGACGAGCCCUAAAUAGGACGAAACGCGCGUCAAACUGGAU